UACGUGCCUCUAACCGUACGUAGUUGACUAGAAAAUCACGCGAUAACUCGGCCUUGUUGGUUUCAGUGUGUUGGCAUUUACAAUAUUUAUUGUACAAAAAUUUCCAAAAAUACGAAACAGUUUGUCUCGGUUCGAAUGGUAAAAUAUUCAAUAAAAAUCGUUUUAAUUUAAUGUGAACAGUUGAACUAUUAUGAAAAAGACAAUUGUGCUGGUGAUGAUGUUAUGUGUUAGUCUACAGCUUUUGUGUUUGAACAUAAACUAACAGCAACCAUUAUCCUUUGCUAUUCUUGACUUUCCUUUAUCAUAUGGGGAUGCAGAUUUGCUGGAAGUCCUAUGCUGGAACGGUGUUAACUGGUUGCUACCAUCACAACGGAAGCUUGUCUACAAAAUUGAUAGAAUUUUGAACCGUCAGCAGCAGAGGCAGUCGAAAUCCACAAUCCUGAAUAUCACGCCAUUCAAGUGGAUAUCCAAACCCAAUAAAGCUGUGGAGUCAAACAACCCAUGACGUUCAGCAGGACACAUCAGGACUAUCUGGACUUCUCAAAAAAGAGAGAUGUGGGUUAAUUUCAGCUCAGCCAAGGCAAAAGGAACACCAAGGA